rnacentral:rRNA from 1 species
AACGAACGCUGGCGGCAUGCCUAACACAUGCAAGUCGAACGAGACCUUCGGGUCUAGUGGCGCACGUGUGCUUAACGCCUGGGAACCUGCCCUUAGGUUCGCAAUAACUCCCCGAAAGGGGUCCUCAUACCGGUUAGUGUCUUCCGACCAACGAUCUCUCGCCUUGGGAUGGGCGCUCGUUGGAUUAGGUAGUUGGUAGUGUAAAAGCCUGCCAUCGCGUGGAUCCUUGGCUGGUCGGGGAGGAGGACCAGCCACGCUGGGACUGAGACACGGCCCAGACCCCGACGCAGGGCAGCAGUGGGGAAUAUUGGACGAUGGGCGAAAGCCUGACACAGCAAUGCCGGGGGAGUGAUGAAGGCCUUAGGGUUGUAAAGCUCUUUUACCCGGGAUGAUAAUGACAGUACCGGGUGAAUAAGCACCGGCUAACUACGUG